rnacentral:rRNA from 1 species
GACGAACGCUGGCGGCGUGCCUAAUACAUGCAAGUAGAACGCACAGUUUAUACCGUAGCUUGCUACACCAUAGACUGUGAGUCGCGAACGGGUGAGUAACGCGUAGGUAACCUGCCUGGUAGCGGGGGAUAACUAUUGGAAACGAUAGCUAAUACCGCAUGAUAUUAAUUAUUGCAUGAUAAUUGAUUUAAAGAUGCAACUGCAUCCCUACCAGAUGGACCUGCGUUGUAUUAGCUAGUAGGUGAGGUAACGGCUCACCUAGGCGACGAAUCAUAGACGAGCCGGAGGGGAGGUCCGCUCACACUGGAAUGGGGACCCGCCCCGGCCUCUUCCGGGGGGAGCAAUAGGGAAUUUUUGGAAAAGGGCGGAAGGCUGGCCGAGCCAAGCCGGGUGGGUGAAGAAGGUUUUCGGAUCGUAAAGGUCCGUUGUGAGAGGAGAACGGGUGGUAGAGUGGAAAGUUCACGCUGUGACGGUAUCUUAACAGAAAGCGACGGCUAACUACGUG